AUGACGUUUGCUUAAGCCUUUCAGCUUUAUUCUGCUGUGUGUCAACACUGAUAUUCAUGUGUACUAGUACCAGUUUAUUUAUAUCAGUUUUCAUGAGUUUGCUUAUUACUUUUGAUGUGUGAUGGAACAGGAAUCUUCAGAAAAGGAAAACACGAAUACUGGUAAGGCAGUCAAAAGAUGGCCCAUAGAGUCACAGGAGGAGCCGAUAUCGGUGAUCAGGGAGGAGACAGAGGAGGAACUGAAGGCAGCGACUGACCAGGUUCGGCCUGUGACCAGUAAAGGCCGUCUACAGACACAUUUUCCUCAGCAGAGCCGUCCGUCAUCCAGUAAAAAAUUACCCCGACCGGGCAGCACUCGCUCCACAGGAUCAAGUCGUCCAGGAACCGGCUCCAGAAAAACUGUGAGUCGAGCGAGCAGUAGAAAGUCUCGACCAGAGAGCAGUGGAUCUCGACUCGAGAGGUUCGGCCCCGGCUCGGACCACAGUGAGAGUGAUGACGAGAUACCCCACAAACCACGAGAGCACCUGCCUGAGAUAGCAGACUUCACUACAGUAGAUAUCAAUGAUGAGAAAGCCUUUGACACCGAUCUAGAGGAUAAAGAAACCACCACUGCCUAUGAUCCUACAGGAAGGACAGCCUACAUUGAAGGAUGCAAAAAAGUAGGAGUGGUUCCUGCCUCUUACUUUCUACGCCAUAUGAACGACCCUCACCUAAGUAUGAAACAUCAUGGUCUGGGGUCCCAGGGAAUGAGGGCAAUUGCAAUGUCUUUAGUGUCCAAUACCAGUGUUUUGACCCUUGAUCUCAGUGACAACUGGCUAGGACAUCCAGGAGGCCAUGCCGUCUGUGAAAUGCUCAGGGAUAACUGUUUCAUCACACAUUUAGAUUUAUCGGACAACAAAUUUGGUCUGCAAACAGCAGAAUCUUUGUCCCAAACACUACAGCAAAACUCCACCCUAACACAUGUCACGUUGUCUGGCAAUGAUUUUGAUGACAAGGCAGCAGUUCACUUCUCAGAUGCAAUAAUGAACACAACAAAGCUAGAGUACUUAAAUUUGAGCCAUAAUUUAUUUGGGGAGAAUGCAGGAAUUAUCCUGGGUCCGGCCAUUGCUGACAACAGCUCACUGAAAGAACUGGACCUCAGCUGGAACUCAAUACGCAGGAAAGGCGCUGUGGCCAUAGCUCAGGGUGUAAAGAAUAAUGUGUAUAUGAAGAAAAUCAACUUGGCAUGGAAUGGUUUCGGACUUGAAGGAUCUAUUGCAUUUGGUGAUGCUUUGAAGGGCAACCAAGUUUUAGAAGAGCUGGAUUUAACGAACAACAGAAUUACCUCAGAAGGAGCCGUUUUGAUAGGAAAAGGAGUUUCUGUGAAUGAAACAUUGACAACAAUUAGACUGGGAAGAAAUCCAAUGCAAACAGCAGGCUGUUAUGGAAUUUGUGCUGCCAUUCUCAGAAAUCCAAACUGUGCACUCAAAGAACUGGAUUUUAAGGAUAUUUUAGUGAACAAAGACUUUGAUGAUAUUUUCAAACAAGUGCAAGAGCAGGUCCCCGAUAUCAAAAUGAGACACGGGGGCAUGGAACCACCCAAAAAACCACGGGCCAGGAUCCAUCCCAUGGUUAAACUGACCAACUAUAUAGAAAAGAACAAUCUCCGCCUCGUCGACUUCUUCAAUAAAUUUGACAAGGAUGGAAGUAUGAGCGUAACUUAUGAGGAGUUCCAGCAAGGCAUUGAGGACACAGGAAUUAAGCUGACUCAAGAGGAGGUCCAGAUCCUGCUGAGUGAACUCGACAGUGAUGGGGACGGCGAGAUCAACUUCAGUGAAAUGGUUAGUGGACACACAGGAUUCCAGGAGAGUCAGCAAGAAAAUAUCAACGUAAUACUGACGGCCACCCAGCCAAGGCCUGUAACAACGUAGCGGGGCACGGCUUGUAACGAGUUCCAGUUCUAUAUAUUCAACAAGACUGCACCCUCUUAAAUUCCCCAAAAAACACAUAGCUACUGUGAUAAUUAACGCAUUUCCGUCCAUAUGUAGUUUUAAAUUGAAUUUAUUUCAUUUUUUUCAAUUCAUCACAAUUUUAUUUAUUACAAUUUUUUUUAAGUCCAUACCUCACCAGUUUGCUUGUACAUUCAUUGUCUUAAUUAGUGCAAUGAGUUAUCUAUAUUACUGCACUCCAAAUAUUUUUUUUCAAAAAGUCCCUUUAAUGCAUAAUGUAUAGUCAUAGCUUUUAACUGCCUUUCUUAAGUUAUUUAUUUUUUUUAACUUUGUAAUGUUUAGAUCUCGUUUUUGUUGCUCCAUAUUAUUUUUUUUCUCUCUCUCCUCUUUUUUUGUGGCCUUAUUUCAAUAUUCAGCUUAUUUCCUGCUGAUACACAAUGCUUCAUAGCCGUUCUGAUUGAACAUUUUGUUGUAUCUUUGAUGUACUUUGAAAAAGCCUAUGCAUUAUGUAUUCUCAUUUUUAAGUGCAGUUGUAUGUAACAUGUUUUAUAAACUUGAAACUUUACAAAAAGGAAAAAAACCCAACUCAUGUUUUAUUUACAUGUGUAUUAAAAUUUUCAGUACAAGUAAAUCAUGUAUUGCCUUUCUUCUGACAAUGGCUUUAACGUACACAUUUACAGAAAAUAUGAGUUGUGUACAUGUUGAUUUUUUUAAAAAAUGUACUGCAAUAAAUAAUGCAAUAU
rnacentral:misc_RNA from 1 species